rnacentral:rRNA from 1 species
GGCAGCAAUGUCUGAGAAACGUUCACUGUGAACAAAUCAGGACGCUUAGAGUAUGGUUACAAGAAUGACUCAGCGCAGUAUGAAUUUUUUGUUUUCUUCGGAAAACAAGCUCAACGAGAGCCAUCGGGGGUAGAUCUAUCUCAUGACGAGUGGUGGAAUACGGUGACUCAUGAGAGAGACACGGAGGCGAAGGCGUCUACCUAGAGGGUUUCUGUCGAUCAAGGGCGAGAGUAGGAGUAUCCAACAGGAUUAGAGACCCUGGUAGUUCCUACUAUAAACGAUGCCGACAGGAGUUUGUCAUUUAAUAAUGGCAGAAUCUUUAGAGAAAUCAUAGUUCUUGGGCUCUGGGGGAACUACGACCGCAAGGCUGAAACUUGAAGGAAUUGACGGAAGGGCACACCAGGGGUGGAGCCUGUGGCUUAAUUUGAAUCAACACGGGGAAACUUACCAGGACCAGAUGUUUUUUAUGACUGACAGGCUUUGGGUCUUUCAGGAUAUGAUUUUUGGUGGUGCAUGGCCGUUGGUGGUGCGUGGGUUGACCUGUCUAGCGUUGAUUCAGCUAACGAGCGAGAUUAUCGCCAAUUAUAUACUACGCCUAGGUUUCUAGGUUGCA